rnacentral:rRNA from 1 species
CUACGGAGGGUGCAAGCGUUAAUCGGAAUUACUGGGCGUAAAGCGCGCGUAGGCGGAUAUUUAAGUCUCAUGUGAAAGCCCUGGGCUCAACCUGGGAACUGCAUGGGAUACUGGGUAUCUAGAAUACAGUAGAGGGUAGUGGAAUUUCAGGUGUAGCGGUGAAAUGCGUAGAGAUCUGAAGGAACAUCAGUGGCGAAGGCGACUACCUGGACUGAUAUUGACGCUGAGGUGCGAAAGCGUGGGGAGCAAACGGGAUUAGAAACCCCAGUAGUCC